AGCGGCUCCUCUGGCUCACGUUGCAGUUGGGUGUUUUGCUUUGGUCAACCUAUAGAGGAGGAAAUAGUGAUCACAAUGGUAAAAAAAUUACGUCGAACUAGAACCGGGAAGGGCCUCAUCGGAGGUAAAAAUCGAGACAACCUGCGGAGACGCCGCUGGGCUUCGACGGCGUUUUUCGGCCAAUUGGCCAAUGUUUUGUCUCCGAUUUGG
rnacentral:lncRNA from 1 species